CCUCUAUCUAGCACCGGUCAGAGAAAAUCUCUCUCCCCCUCCCUCUCUAAGUCUAUGUUGUGACUCCAGCGACCAUUCCCAGCCGCCGCCGCCACCACCUACGCCGGGCUAUUCCGGCGAGUUCCGGCGGCCCUCGCCGGUGCGCAGGACACGCCCGUGCUCCCCUCGCCAAGCUCCUUCCUUCCCUUCGUCCAUAUCCGCUGCUCGCGGCCGCGUCCCCUCCCCGCAGCUAGGGUUCCGGCUGCAGUGUCGCCUCCAACUCUGGCGAGUCACCCUCCACCUCCAUGGACGGCGAUGACCAUGCCCUGCCCAUGGACGAGGAGCUCGCCGCCGUCUGCUCCGGUAUGGUGCAGCUGAUCUGGGCCACCGACAUCCGCCUCGACGGCUCCUCCUAGCUCGGGGACCACUGUUAUUAUUGGUGGACUUGCUAUGGCGAUGUUAGUAGCUUGUUGCAAUGUUGUUACUGUCAUGUUUUCAAUUUAACUGCUACUCCUCUCGAGCUAAGGCACCUGAGCUAUUUACAGAAGGAAGGGACCCGACCUUCUUCACGGCUCGCGGCAGCGUCUCUCGUUGAUUCGUUCAUGCAACAAGGAGGGCACCCACACUUCUUCACGUCUCGUGCAACAAGGGUGAUCGACACGGACUACCGCUGCCCGGUGGGUGUCAUGCUCUUCAAACACUCGGAGGUGGACUUCGCCGUGAAGCACGGCGACCGCGUCGUACAGAUGAUCGUCCAGGUGAUUGCGAAGCCGGAGGUCGCCGAGGUGGAGGACCUCGAUACCAUCAUUUGGGGGGAGGGAGGAUUUGGGUCCACCAGCGUCUGAACUCUGAGCCUUGGUAGAUACAUCUAGAGAAGUGGUAUGUUUAGGCUGCUGAUCGAACACUAGGAAAGGUACCCACCUUUGGUUGUGUGCGUUUACUGUCAAAUGAAUCACGUGAUCUCUUGAAGUUGAGAUGUUCAAUGUUGCAUCCAUGAACGGUGCAAGUGUUAAGAUGGUCCUGUGACCUUAAUUUAUUUUGCACUAGACGUGUC